rnacentral:lncRNA from 1 species
GGGCUUUCUACCUGGAAGGAUGAAAGGCACCCGGCCAGGAGUGGAGAAGCGCACACAAUCUUCUGGGGUGGUUUAAACAGCCCAGAAAAUAGUGUGGGGUGAUCUUUUCACGGAAACACUUCGAAUUUAGAAUUAGCUUAAUUUAUUACAGAAGAGGGACCAUAUGGCCUGGAAAAAAAGUUGGCUUAAGGUCAGUGAUUGAGGUCAUCAGAUAUUCUAAGAUUUCCGUCUUCACUGAGCUCAAACCCUAGCCCUCUCAUUUUUCUUUUUUUUUAAGAACAAGAAUUUUAUUUUACUUUUUAAUUUUUUUUUAACAGCCUCGUCUGUGGCAUAUGGAAGUUCCACGGCCAAGGGUCCAAUCAGAGCUGCAGCUGCAGCCACAGCCGCAGCCACAGCAACAUGGGAUCCGAAUCACGUCUGAGACCUAUGCCACAGCUUGCCCACUGAGCGAGGCCAGGGAUGGAACCCUUAUCUUCAGGGAGACCACAUCAUGUCCUUAACGGGAUGAGCCACAGUGGGAACUCCCCCUGGUACUCUCUUUUAAAGGAAAUUUGAUAGGUUUGUAAACACUGGUGUCUUUUAUGACAGUUAAACAGCAGGGAAGAUCAAGGUUGCCUUAGCUUCUUGCACAGCCUUGGGUUCAAAUGUGCCUCUUGCUGAGUCUCGGAGUCCCUGGGCGUUCCGUAGGUGUACUGGUUAUGUUUCGGCUUCUUAACCCUCUGAGCCACAGUGGGAACUCCCAGCCAGGGGCUUUGAAGAAUUCUGUGUAAUGGAUUUGUCCAAAAAGAUGGAUAAAUGUGCACUCCCACCUCCUGCCACGUUCAAAAGGAAACGCCAGAGGAAAAACAUGAAAUGUUGAGAACCCAUAAGACCCAGAGAAGGGGAUUUAAAGAUACGACAUCAGGGUGGAAGUGCUACUUUCCCAGGGCUCUUUGCCUUCUUAAUCAAUGGAAAUCGAUAAGAGGCCAGACGAGAAAAUUCAGGCAAGGCUUUAUUGGGGCCCCUGCUGCAGCAGCGGGAACGAAAACACUCAGCAGCUAGUUCCCUGGAGGGUGGGGGGCAGAGUGCCAGCUGGUUCCUUACACGGGGGAAGGUAGGGGUGAGUCCACGGUUUGUGCCAGAGGGGUGGCUUAGGAGGUCUGCCCACCCCUUUGGCAGUGCAGGGGGCAUGGGCAGUACCCUGCUCUGCUCUCGGCUCUUCAGAAGUGGCAGCUGGGUUUUUAGGGUUUUUUUUGUAUUUUCUUGCCCAUAAUUUGCCCCAACUAUGCAUGUAUGUAGUUAUUUUUAGUCCCUUACAGUUUCUCUGUAUUUUGUUCCUUGAGACUUUUGUCCGGGUGUGAACACUGCAGCCCCUGCAGUGAAGAUCCCAGGUCCCCGGUCCCCAACUGUCUCAGAAGUUGCUUUAUAUGUAUGACAAGCAAACCAGAAAAUGUGAAGAAAAAUAUUGGCAGAAUCAAAUAUUUGGAAAUGAAAUUCUCUGGGUGGAAUCAGACUCCCUAAAUAA